GAUGAACGCUAGCUACAGGCUUAACACAUGCAAGUCGUGGGGCAGCGGAUACUUAGCUUGCUAAGUAUGCCGGCGACCGGCGCACGGGUGAGUAACGCGUACCGAACCUGCCCAUCACACAGGGAUAGGCUUGCGAAAGCAAGAUUAAUACCUGAUGGUCUCAGUUGUAUGCAUGUAUAAUUGAGUAAAGCCUUCGGGCGGUGAUGGAGGCGGUGCGUCCCAUUAGGAAGUUGGCGGGGUAACGGCCCACCAAUCCUUCGAUGGGUAGGGGUUCUGAGAGGAAGGUCCCCCACAUUGGAACUGAGAUACGGUCCAAACUCCUACGGGAGGCAGCAGUGAGGAAUAUUGGUCAAUGGGCGAGAGCCUGAACCAGCCAAGUAGCGUGCGGGAUGAAGGCCCUUGUGGUCGUAAACCGCUUUUAUCAGUGAAUAAAGUGCACCACGUGUGGUGUCAUUGCAGGUAGCUGAAGAAAAAGGACCGGCUAAUUCCGUGCCAGCAGCCGCGGUAAUACGGAAGGUCCGGGCGUUAUCCGGAAUUAUUGGGUUUAAAGGGAGCGCAGGCGGGAGUAUAAGUCAGCUGUUAAAUAUCAGGGCCCAACUCUGUUAUGCAGUUGAAACUAUAUUUCUUGAGUACGCACAGGGAUGGCGGAAUUCAGGGUGUAGCGGUGAAAUGCUUAGAUAUCCUGAAGAACUCCGAUCGCGAAGGCAGCCAUCCGGAGCGUAACUGACGCUGAGGCUCGAAGGUGCGGGUAUCGAACAGG
rnacentral:rRNA from 1 species